ACUCAAAUGAAUUGACGGGGGCUCACACCAGCGGUGGAGCAUGUGGCUUAAUUCGAGGCUACGCGAAGAACCUUAUCCUAGGUUUGACAUGGUCGGAUUAGCCUCCUGAAAGGGAGGUGACGCGGCUUGCCGUGGAACGAUCACAGGUGCUGCAUGGCUGUCGUCAGCUCGUGUUGUGAGAUGUCGGGUUAAGUCCCUUAACGAGCGAAACCCUUGUCCUUAGUUACCAGCGGGUCAUGCCGGGAACUCUAAGGAGACUGCCGAUGUCAAGUCGGAGGAAGGCGGGGAUGACGUCAAGUCCUCAUGGCCUUUAUGCCUAGGGCUGCACACGUGCUACAAUGGGGCGGAACAAAGGGAAGCAAAACGGCGACGUUGAGCAAAUCCCAAAAAACGCCCCCCAGUUCAGAUUGCAGGCUGCAACCCGCCUGCAUGAAGCCGGAAUCGCUAGUAAUCGCAGGUCAGCCAUACUGCGGUGAAUGUGUUCCUGAGCCUUGUACACACCGCCCGU
rnacentral:rRNA from 1 species